rnacentral:lncRNA from 1 species
GGAGUUUGAAGCGGGGAAGGAGGCAAGCUGCGGCACUGUGUAACAUCUUCCUCUCCCUCUUCAAAGUUUAGCUCCUUCAAUUUACAUACAGGAAGGAGGAAGCAAGAAGGGAAGGAAAUAACUACAUUAUAGUGUUCUAUGAGGUUGACUGUCCAUAUCCUCCCAUCAUCUUCAGUCAUUUUUUAAAUACUGACUGUGGGGUAGGAGUUACGGUAGUGGUUGUUGGUAACAGGGUCAGUUAUGUAUUUUCUAAUACAGCCGAUUACAAUUGUCAGAAGCUCAUUGGUGGCCAUCUCUGGACUGGGCACUUUGCACUAUUACCCUGAGCUUUGAAUCAUAACUGCAAUUUUGGAGAACAGAAAAGUCCCUCCUACUCAACAUCUAUUAUAGCAGCCUAGUAAUUCCUGAGUCAAAUUUAUAUUUAUAAGUAUACCUUGUGUGUUUGUAGUGAAUUGUCUGUAGGAUAAAACGAUGUAACUGAGAACCUUUGAUGAGACUGUCACUGAGGACCACACUGCAUAAGGAGGGACAUGGUCUCACCUGUGUUGCUGUGUUGCUCAGGCUGGUGUCAAACUCCUGAGCUCAAGCGAUCUUCCUGCCUCUGCCUCCAAAAGUGCUGGGAUUACAGGUGUGAGCCACUAUGCCUGACUUUAGUACAGUAUUUUCCAAAAUUUUUUUUGUCUGGUGACAUACCUUAAUAUCUCUUAAGAAUAGAGUAUCACAGAUAUCUUUUGGAAACCCUGGGUUCAAUGAUCUCUAAGACCCUUUCCAGUUAGCAUUCAAUUAUACUAGUAACUCUGUUUUUGUUAUUUAUUGUAUUUUGUCAAUAAGGAAGUUUUUUUGUUGAUUUCCGGUAAUUUCUCAGUUGAAAUAAUUUAGCUGCCUAGGGAUUCAUUAGAAUGAGUCAUUGGUCCUCCUGCCCCAUGUAAGGUACUUUCCAGUUUUAAAGUUUAUGAUUCUAAGAUUCUAAUUUGAGAUCAGCGACAAGUCUUCUUAUAAGAAAAAUUAAUUGUAUUCUUUUUUUUUUUUUUAGACAUAGUCUCACUCUGUCACCCAGCCUGGAGUGCAGUGGUGCGAUCUCGGCUCACUGCAAGCUCCGCCUCCUGAGUUCAAGUGAUUGUCCUGCCUCAGCCUCCCGAGUAGCUGGGACUACAGGCACCCGCCACCGUGCCCGACUGAUUUUUUGUAUUUUUAGUGGAGACGGGGUUUCACCGAGUUAGCCAGGAUGGUCUCGAUCUCCUGACCCGUGAUCCGCCCGCCUCGGCCUCCCAAAGUGCUGGGAUUACAGGCGUGAGCCACUGUGCCCGGCCAAUUAAUUGUAUUUUUUGCCUUCUAGAAAACCUUAUGUUGCUUCAUAUUCUUGUUAACCUGCAAAAUUUUUUUUCCAAAUUCUCAUUUUAAAAGAAUAAUAGAUUUAUCUAUAAGCAACAGAGACAUUUUGUACCCUCAUGGUUAGUAGUUUUAAUUUUUCGGAAAAAUCAUGUUACUCAUUACGUAAUAUCUGUAACUAAAUUUUAAACUAUGGAUUGGUACAAGUUUACACAGGCAUUAAAAUUUCCGAUUAUUCCUUAGGACAUUACAUAGGAGUAUAUGUGUUGUUGAUUUUGUUAUUAAAACACUUUCUUUCAUUAACAAUGUACCUCUUCUGUUCAGAAAAAUGAAAAGGAAAGAGUACAUGACCACAUCUUUAAAUAGAUGUUCAAGUUCAUUUAAAAAGAUUAUUUUUUAUUUAAAACAUUACAACCUCAUCACCUGCAGACUAUUUCUUUCAUCAAAGUGGCUUAAGAUGUAUUGCAUUUUGAUAAAAAACUGCUUCCAAUGGCUACAGCAUCAAAAAGUAAAUACUAUGUAUUUUAUUUACCAUGAAAAAGGUAGUGAAAGUUUCCCCAGUUUCUUAAUCUGUAAUUGGUCACUCUUUCUGUAGAGAGAUAUUGAGGAUGGUAAAAUACUCCCAGUACCCACAAGGUGGCAUGGCCUUCUUGUUCAAUCCAGUUUCAUUUAUUAUUUCUGCUUUAUCUGCUACUAUAUUUUAGAUUCUGCUCUUUUAUUAAAGUUUUGAAUUUCACUUUAUGGUUUUAUUUUUCUUCACUUGCAGCCAAUGGACAGUACUGGAAUUUCUAGACAGAAAUAUAUUUUUUAAAGAAAUAUUAAAGUAAAACUCUUCUACAUCUUCUAUUGUUUCAGUCCACUUUGGAGCUGACUUUAAAUUAUUUGACUGUGUAUGAAGCCUAGUGAUUAUAAACUGCCUAAUAAACACUAGAUACUCAAUAAAUAUUUGCUGUGGAAUUUCAUGAGUUGUCUUACUGAAAAAAAGGUAUUAAAAUACUCA